AUGAGGCCCGGAAAGAGUUUUGUAAACACUGUGUUGGAAAUGUGUGGAAUUAUAGUAGUAUGAUUUGCAGCAGCACAUCUGCCACAAAUUCACUGUUUUCUGCAUGUUCUGCCAGUUUUUAACAGUGAUGGCCUAUAGAACAUCAACAGUCGGUUGCAGUCCAUCAGCUCAUUGCUUGUUUUGAAUCUGAAGGGGAAACUCAUUGUCACAUCUGUGAUCACAUAGGCCAGUGAUCUAACAGGAUUGUUAUACAAUUGGAUCCAUUGUUUUGGAGGCACCAGAAAUGAAGUGAAAUUGCUUUCCAGUAGAGACUAUUGCAGCUUCCUGCUGUUUAUGGUAAUUAGACCACCCGCAAAAUGUCAAUGAGUUGCUGUAGUCAUCUUCCAUUCCAGCCUUCUUUAUCAAGAUGCUUUGUACCAACGCACAGACUUAAGAGAAUAAAAACGAAAAGGCCACAAUUGUUUAAGUUACCUUAAAAUAAUGCUGCCUAUAAUUAACAGUGUUUGCUAGCAUGGCAGAUUUUUCCUCUGCGUCUCUGAGUAUCCGAAUGUAAGUUGGCUUGGAAUGAAUCUGUAGUAUGCUAUUCUUUGUUUUUAUUCUGUGGGAGAGAGCAGCCUCCACCACAUGUCGCUGCAUCUCCCAAUAUGAUGUCAUCGAAAAGCAAUGGCUUGAUCACAUAUUUCGGUCACAUAGAUAACUUCUGAAUUGUAAAGUUUAUCAUAUAGAUAACGGAUUUCUGAAUGCGUUAAUCUGGAAUUGUGCCGUCAUUUGGCGAAUGUUACUACGUAGAAGUGGCAACAUUGUUAGCCAACAACGUUCUAAAUGACUAACGUUAACGUUCUACUUGAACAAAAGUGGAGCACUGGCAUAUUUCAACUGCUUUACUUCGAGAUCGGAAAGUUCAACUGAAAUACUGAAUUACAUUUUUUUUCGGUUUUGGUUCCGCUCAUUCGGAGUGGACUAUGGAGAGGAAGAUAGAGGAGCUGGGCGAUUUGGAAAAGCGGCUGUCCCAGGAUGGCUUGGACUCCAAAAGCAGCCCAACGGAGCGGCUGCUCCACCUGUGGAAGCUCUACCUGGGCACCGUGGGCAGCCUGAACGCCGCCAGGCUGGAGAUGAAGGCUCUGCACGAGACUAACGACAAGGAGAAUAUGAAGAAGCAAAAUAUGCUGGACGAGAUCCGGGCUCUGACUGCCCAGCAGCGCUCCAUUGUCAACAAGCUUGUGGAAGAAAACCAGCAACUGCAUGCUCAGCUGAAGCAGCUGCACCUUGAGAAAGAGGGCCAGAAGAUGGAGGUGGCCGAGCUGCUUCACCAAGGGGGCCUGGGAGAGAUUGUCCCCUCCAGCCCCGGCGAGCAGGUGGCCUACCUGCUGGCUGAGAAGGAUUCUCUCAUUGAGAGACUGCAGGCUCUGGAGCUGCUGGCGGUGGAGAAAUGCCCAGCCUCACCUGGGUGCCCGCCACACACGGACCCUGAACCAGAGGCCGUCUUCAAAGAUGGCAUGGACAAGCUGUCCUUCCACAAGGCGGUGCCGUUUCGAGGCCAGAGCUCCUGGAAGAAGCUCUUAGGACUCCGUAAGGCCGCUCAGAGCAAACAGAAACUAGCGGUUUCCUCUGGUGUCGAGCCGUCUGAGGAUGGCAGCGUUGAGCGGCUGCACCUGGAGAGAGACCUGGACGAGGCGUCCUGCCGCCUGUCUAUGGCUCACAAGGAGAUCCGUCGGCUGACGGAUGAGCUGGAGUCAGCGCACAUGACCCAGAGAGCCUGCGGUAAGGGAGACGCCAAGAGUGUCACUUUUAAAAAUGAGAUGGC
ensembl:lncRNA